UACGUAGGGGGCAAGCGUUGUCCGGAAUCAUUGGGCGUAAAGCGCGUGUAGGCGGCUUGGUAAGUCUGCUCUGAAAGCCCGGGGCUCAACCCUGGGAGGCGGGUGGAUACUGCUGAGCUCGAGUCCGGAAGAGGAGAGUGGAAUUCCUGGUGUAGCGGUGAAAUGCGCAGAUAUCAGGAGGAACACCAAUGGCGAAGGCAGCUCGCUGGGACGGUACUGACGCUGAGACGCGAAAGCGUGGGGAGCAAACAGG
rnacentral:rRNA from 1 species